rnacentral:rRNA from 1 species
CUACGGGCGGCUCCAGUGGGGAAUAUUGCACAAUGGGCGCAAGCCUGAUGCAGCCAUGCCGCGUGUAUGAAGAAGGCCUUCGGGUUGUAAAGUACUUUCAGCGGGGAGGAAGGGAGUAAAGUUAAUACCUUUGCUCAUUGACGUUACCCGCAGAAGAAGCACCGGCUAACUCCGUGCCAGCAGCCGCGGUAAUACGGAGGGUGCAAGCGUUAAUCGGAAUUACUGAGCGUAAAGCGCACGCAGGCGGUUUGUUAAGUCAGAUGUGAAAUCCCCGGGCUCAACCUGGGAACUGCAUCUGAGACUGGCAAGCUUGAGUCUCGUAGAGGGGGGUAGAAUUCCAGGUGUAGCGGUGAAAUGCGUAGAGAUCUGGAGGAAUACCGGUGGCGAAGGCGGCCCCCUGGACGAAGACUGACGCUCAGGUGCGAAAGCGUGGGGAGCAAACAGGAUUAGAUACCCCCGUAGUC